AAAAUAAAAUCUUAACUGCAAUUGCUACCUGUGCAUUUGUUUAUUUUUCAGGCCAAAAUCUUUUGAAAAUUUCAAAAUAUCUGAUCAUUUAUUUUUGGACAACCGAAAAACUUUUAUGUACUUUAGUCUUGAAACAUUGCUACAUCUCACUACAAGCGAUGAUUCUUGUGAAGGUUGCAAUGCUUUUGCAUUUAAUCAAUUUAUUCAUCAGCAAACAGGAGUAUUGGUGAAAAAAGAUCCUUUAAUAAAACAAUCAUAAUUUUCGUAUGAUUUUAAAAAUAUAAUGAAUGCAUGCAAGACUUAAAUAGAAAUGAAAUUGUAGAGUCAAAGCAUAAAAAGGAAUCCAGUAAUGUAAAAUGAAGAAAUUUUCUCUUGUUCUACUUGCAAUAUUUAAAGAGAAGACAAAUCUUAUGAACUGAGGAUUAUUCUUGUUAUUAAUAGCUCAUGUAUUUUAUCUUAUUUCAUUUAUAACAUAUGCUUUAUAUAACUGUGUAUAAAUAUACGAUUUUUAAUAUUCCUACAAGAUUUUGGGAUUAACAAAGUGUCCAUCACUCGAGUUGUUAGAAAGUCUUCAGAUGCUGAGACUCCCGGAUUUUCUUGCCCACUGUGUCCUUACGUCUCUGGAAGCAAAAGCCUCUUUAUAGCACACAUUUUGGACCAUGCUAAAAAUUAUCCCAAUGCAUGUCCAGUCUGCAAGAAGACAUUUUCAGGACAAGCCAGUUUAAAAGUGCACGUGUUCAGCCAUUCUGGAACACGUCCUUUUAAAUGUCAUGAAUGUGGACGUGAAUUUGCACAAAAGGGCAAUUUAAAAGCCCACGUGCAUUCGCAUGCGGCCAGAAAGUAGCUAUCUGUUUUUAAAAAAGACUAAGUAUAUUGACUUUUUAAGAUAGUUUGAAUAUUUAGUGCUUUAUAGAGGUUGUUAGCUGAACCCUAGCUUAAUAGAUGGGCCUUCACAUACCACUGAACUUGUAUAUAUUUGUUCACUUGGCUUCACUGUAGAAAAGGCCUGCUAUUUCAGGUUCAAAAUUAAUUCCUAAAUGUUUAAUUUUUUUUUUGAUAAGGCAUCCUUUUUUUGGACUAGAUAGAAUUUUACUUGUUUACAGCUCGUGAUUAAAAGGUGAAUUAAACUUUGUCCAAACAAGAUAGAUUUUCAAUUGAAAAAAAAUAAUAAUAAUAGUCAUAAAACCCUUCUUACCUUGUCAACAAUAUACCAACUUCGAAAUUUAAACCUAGUUGAUAAUUUGUAAAAUGAACUUAAUUUUGCUGCUCGAACAAUAUGCUAACAUUAAUGUAUCAUGGUGUACGGCUUGCAACAAGAACAAACAGUAUCAAACAAGUAAAAAGAGGCCAUAUCGGAACUGCCAAAAAAGCGAGUUCUUUCUAAAUCUUGCAACCAUGUCAGCUUUUUUAACAAUACAUCUAUAAAUAACUAAAAACAAAUUUUCACUCACAAGAAUUACUUAAUAUCAUAAAAAUCUUGUGAAAUACAGCUGAUUUGAGCUCAGAAAUUAUAUCUAUUUUUUUAAAUUAAAAACUUAAUUUUCCGUUUGAAAAUAUCGACUCUCAGAAUAAGCUGUAGUAAGCAACUGUAUACUUUCUAACUGGAAGUAGAGCUGGUCAAGAACUCGAGAUUGUUGUUGUUUAUAUUUAUGCUAAAACACCAUCUAUUAUAAUAUCAUGGAUUGUGGAUAAAAGUGAAACAUUUAAUUUUAAAAAUUAAAACAACAAUAGAUUCAUCAAUCAACAAAAGAUAUGUGUUCAAAUCUUAAAAGUACGCUAAGCAAAAACAAACAAAAAAUCUUUCAAUUAAUUAUUUUGAAAUAAAUUUUUAUAAAAUAUUUUCUAUGUAAUAUUUCAUAAUUAGUUUAUAAAAAUAUAUGUAAUAUUCUAUUAUUAGUUUUUAAAAAUAUGCAUUUAAAAAUAAAAACAAGUUUUACUUUUUUGAGUUUUAAAUAAGUUGUUUUCUGAAAUUUUGUACCUUUACAUUUUAUUUUUAAAUAAUACUACUCAGUCUGCUUGAAUUCAUAUGGUCUUGUGUCCAUAUUUUAAUAACUUAUCACUUAUAUAUACGAAAUAUUUGAAUUUUUUGGGGGAAGCCUAAUCAAAACUCUGCACCAUUUCACAUAACCGCUAUUUUUAAUUGUGAACUAGAACAAUAGACAAAAAAAGGUUUUUAUCAAUGUUAUCAAACUUCAGUGUGUGUGAUAAAAAUAAUGCAUAAGACGUUAGUUUGAUGGUAAUGAUUACAGUUAAUAAUUUACUAUUGCAAACUGUGGCUAAUAUAACUGAAAUUUUUGUGGUUACAUUAUUCUUUAUGUAUUUACUAAGUAGGAAGUGCUCUGUUAAAAUAUGAGUACUCAUUUUUUAUAUUAUUGUUUCUUUUCAUUUUCAUGCAAUGUUUAAUUAAUAUCUUCAGGUUUUUUAAAUUUCUUUGUCUCUCUUGUAAUUUCCAAAUAAAACCAAAUCUUUAGACUUAUAUAAAAGUUGACUGUAAAUUUCUUUUAUUUCUAUAUUAUUUUCGUGGUUUAAAAUUUUUUUUAAUCAAAUAUUUUUUGUAAUUUGAAGUAAAUUGAAAAAAGAGAAUGAUGAAUUUCAACUCCUAAGUAUAUGUUAAUGUUAUACAAUUUAAAAAGAUAUCCAUUUAGUAUGAAGAAUAUUUUUUUAAUUGUUUUCAAUAUUCUUAACCAUUUAAUUAGAAAACUUUUUUAAAAAAUAAAGUUAACAGUAACUUUUGAUGAUUUGCUUUGUAAUUGUAUGUUAAGUUUUUUAAUAAUAAUGUGGCGCCAUCUAUUGUAAUAGAAGAAUUUUAGACAACAACAAAGGAAUUUUUUUCCUUCCACUCAGUGAAAAAGCCACAUGAAAACUAUCUAAACUUAGCUGAUGUAUUAUUAAUUUAGAAUUUUUAUUAUUAUGUGAAAUUUCUUUAUCAUUGUAAUUAUUUUAAUUUUUAUUUACUUUUUUUUUGCUUUGCUUUAUUGAGUGUUUAAAAUAAGGUAGAAAUAAAUUGUAGGUUCUCUGCUUAAUUUGCUUGAUACUUGUAGUAAAAAACAAUUAAUUCUAACUAAAAAUUUAAUAUGUAAUUACUAUAAAAUUUAAUCUAAAGAAACAAGCUAUUUUUGCAAUCUUUGUUGAAGUUCUUUAUAACAGGGAAAGAGUUAAAAGUGAUGUGGUUAAAUUGGAAUAAUAAUCAAACCAAACUUAUAUAUAUGUAUAUAUAUAUUUUUUUUUCUUUCAAAAAGCAAUUUUUAUCCUUUUUGUUUGUAUGCUCAAAUAAAUGAAGAAAAUUAGAUCAAAUUGAAGAAUAAAAUAGCAUACUGCAUAAUUGUAUGUUUAGAAUAAAGUCAAAAUCCACUUUCUUUUUCAGAGUGUCCAUGCACGUGAACAAAGCUUUCAAAAUGUGUAUUUAAUAAAAUGUUUUUGGGAGAGAACUCUGUACUUCUUUUUCACGGAAUUCCCUCAAUGUCCUGGAUUGUAUGAUUUUUUUUUGGCAUAAGAACCUCAAUUGCGAAAAUUCAAGUUAGAACUAUUUAUAAAAAUUAUAAUCAUAAUUAUGUUCUUUACGUAAUAACAAAAAUAAUUUAUUCAGUAAAAGGCAAAUAACUGUAGAGGUUAUUCAAA